rnacentral:tRNA from 1 species
GGGAAAGUGGCUCAGUGGUAGAGCGCUUGCCUCACAUGCAAGAGGCCCUGGGUUCAAUUCCUCAGCACCA